UCCAGAGACAAAACCAACAACAUAGUCCGGCAGCAGGUCUACCCCAGCAGCAUGUGUGUUGUCUUCCCCAGCUCUGGAAAAAGGGGGUGAUGCUAUGACCCAAAAUUAUACAUAAAGUAAACAUGGAGGAUAUAUAAGGGAAAGGACUCCUCUAAGCCACACCUCCUCUAAAGAAAGCACCCAAUGGCAUGAAACGCACAAGGAGUAUGGGGACCACGUGGCACUAAGAUGUACCUGUAUGUCGUUUGGUAUGGGCCACCAUCAGGGAGGCACAUGGGGUACUGUUGUACCGGGCCUAAAAGCUGUGCCGAAGAGCCGAAGUCCUGGAGAGCUGAAGUUCUG